rnacentral:lncRNA from 1 species
AUGAUCAUGGAUAAGCAAGAAAAAAGAAGGAUGUGCAGCGAUGCACAGAAGUCAGCAACUGUAAAUAAAGUUUUGAAAGCCUGCCCCCAGAGUUCAGAAGAAAGAAGCAUAUUGAAGAAGAUGCUGAUGCAGCGUGACCAGGAGAUCAGUAACCUUGUAAGGAUGUUGAAGAACAAUAAUCCUGCUUGGUUUGCUGAUAUCAAGGGUGGCCUAGCCCUGCCAUGCCAAAGUGAAAUAAAUGUGUAUAAACCUCAGGGAAAUGUCAACACCAUGCCUGUAGAGAGUGAAGCACAGACAGUUCUACAGCAAAUGAAGACAAAUGAAGAGCCUUUCGAGACAUUUAUGGGAAGUGAAGACAAUCUGACCAUUGACAAGAAUAUUAUAUCUAGACUAAAACAGAGGGUGACUGAGGCCAGAAGACUUGGUGAGCAACUGAAAGUGUCCAAAAACAGAAUUCAUGAGAUGAAGAAGCAGUUGGCCUCGCAGAGGAAGCAGAUGGCAACUAAUGAUGUAACAUGGAAUCACACAGAGGCUGAAGAGGAGGAUCUUGUGAUAAAAAGCCUAUCUCUCCAAAUUGAGCAAGAAAAAACAAACUAUAAGACUGUCAUCAGCCGUCUUAAAGAACUGAGGAGAAAAAUUGAGCGCCAGCAACUCUACCUGGCUUAAAAAAAACUGCAAAAGGAUUUCCAAAGACAUUGGGCCCAGGGAGUCACCUUAGUGCAGGUCACACAAAAAAAGCAUAACGGCUAUAUUAACAAUAUGUCGCAUACUUUUUAGGCCAAGCUUAAAGUAGAGCUGACAUCUCUUAUUUUGUCAUGGGACGUUUUUAUUUUACCAUUUGUUUGAUUGCUGGAAAUAGGACUCCAACAGAUGCUACAGCCAGAUAAACACAAGUGACAAUUCUGAGGUGUUUCUUUGUAAUUAUUUUAUGUUUUUGUAUGUGAUGAGUGUUGUGAAGUACAUAUUUUUGUCUGUGAGAGUGAAAUAAAUAAAUAUCAUUAGUCU